GACGAACGCUGGCGGCGUGCCUAAUACAUGCAAGUCGAACGAAACUUUCUUACACCGAAUGUUUGCAUUCACCGUAAGAAGUUGAGUGGCGGACGGGUGAGUAACACGUGGGUAACCUGCCUAAAAGAAGGGGAUAACACUUGGAAACAGGUGCUAAUACCGUAUAUCUCUAAGGAUCGCAUGAUCCUUAGAUGAAAGAUGGUUCUGCUAUCGCUUUUAGAUGGACCCGCGGCGUAUUAACUAGUUGGUGGGGUAACGGCCUACCAAGGUGAUGAUACGUAGCCGAACUGAGAGGUUGAUCGGCCACAUUGGGACUGAGACACGGCCCAAACUCCUACGGGAGGCAGCAGUAGGGAAUCUUCCACAAUGGACGCAAGUCUGAUGGAGCAACGCCGCGUGAGUGAAGAAGGUCUUCGGAUCGUAAAACUCUGUUGUUAAAGAAGAACACGAGUGAGAGUAACUGUUCAUUCGAUGACGGUAUCUAACCAGCAAGUCACGGCUAACUACGUGCCAGCAGCCGCGGUAAUACGUAGGUGGCAAGCGUUGUCCGGAUUUAUUGGGCGUAAAGGGAACGCAGGCGGUCUUUUAAGUCUGAUGUGAAAGCCUUCGGCUUAACCGGAGUAGUGCAUUGGAAACUGGAAGACUUGAGUGCAGAAGAGGAGAGUGGAACUCCAUGUGUAGCGGUGAAAUGCGUAGAUAUAUGGAAGAACACCAGUGGCGAAAGCGGCUCUCUGGUCUGUAACUGACGCUGAGGUUCGAAAGCGUGGGUAGCAAACAGG
rnacentral:rRNA from 1 species